rnacentral:rRNA from 1 species
AAUUCGCCCUUAGAGUUUGAUCAUGGCUCAGGAUGAACGCUGGCGGCGUGCCUAAUACAUGAAGUCGAGCGAGGCCCUUCGGGGCCUAGCGGCGGACGGGUGAGUAACACGUGGGUAACCUGCCUGUAAGACUGGGAUAACUUCGGGAAACCGAAGCUAAUACCGGAUAAUUUCGAGCAUCGCAUGAUGCUUGAUGGAAAGACGGUUUCGGCUGUCACUUACAGAUGGACCCGCGUCGCAUUAGCUAGUUGGUGAGGUAACGGCUCACCAAGGCGACGAUGCGUAGCCGACCUGAGAGGGUGAUCGGCCACACUGGGACUGAGACACGGCCCAGACUCCUACGGGAGGCAGCAGUAGGGAAUCUUCGGCAAUGGGCGAAAGCCUGACCGAGCAACGCCGCGUGAGCGAUGAAGGCCUUCGGGUCGUAAAGCUCUGUUGUUAAGGAAGAACAAGUACGAGAGUAACUGCUCGUACCUUGACGGUACUUAACGAGAAAGCCACGGCUAACUACGUGCCAGCAGCCGCGGUAAUACGUAGGUGGCGAGCGUUAUCCGGAAUUAUUGGGCGUAAAGCGCGCGCAGGCGGUUUUUUAAGUCUGAUGUGAAAGCCCACGGCUCAACCGUGGAGGGUCAUUGGAAACUGGGAAACUUGAGUGCAGAAGAGGAGAGCGGAAUUCCACGUGUAGCGGUGAAA